rnacentral:sRNA from 1 species
AGUCGCGCGGAGCCCGGCUUCCGACGUGCAGCCUGGCAGUGCAGUGAGCUGUCUGGCCUUUUGUCCUUGAUCCUUGGUUAAGGAAAUGACCAACCAGUACGGUAUUCUCUUCAAACAAGAGCAAGCCCAUGAUGAUGCCAUUUGGUCAGUUGCUUGGGGGACAAACAAGAAGGAAAACUCUGAGACAGUGGUCACAGGCUCCCUAGAUGACCUGGUGAAGGUCUGGAAAUGACCAUUGGUAUUGCAUAGUCACAGGGACCCAGAAUUUCAGAUGCCAGGUAAAGUGUGUUCUGUGUGAAGAAAUCCAUUUCUCUGUCCCCUGUUGAAGGCGUGAUGAGAGGCUGGACCUACAGUGGAGUCUGGAGGGACAUCAGCUGGGAGUGGUGUCUGUGGACAUCAGCCACACCCUGCCCAUUGCUGCAUCCAGCUCUCUUGAUGCUCAUAUUCGUCUUUGGGACUUGGAAAAUGGCAAACAGAUAAAGUCCAUAGAUGCAGGACCUGGUAAGAGUUUUACUUGUAGGGGAGAUAAUAGAGGUUCAUGAUUUCUUUUCCAAAAUCUUUAGGGAUAGAAUGUGUUUUACAACUCGGAAUUUUUUGGAUUUGAGAGGGGUGAUAAUGUGUGCAUGAACUGUAUUUCACAUAAUACCCUCAGUGGGGCUGGAAACAGCACUGUAAUGAAACACUAAUACCUCUGCAACUAAACAUGAAUGUUUACACUAAGGGAGAUAAAUAAAGGCUAUAAAUAGCCUUAUGUCAAUUCAGGUUAGAUUUUGCUGCCAAAUGAAUUUUGGUAGUAAACCUGUAGAAAAAGCCUGUAGUUUCCAGAGCUUUUUGGAUUUCAAACUGCUGGUUUGGCGUUGUUGACCUGUAUUUUGUAUUUUCCAGAGGUUCUUUAUUUGCCAUAUUCUGAACUGAUUCAUUCACUGCCUUACGGAAACCUAGAAUGUAAAGCAUGGGGUCCUUAUAGAUCUGUAUCAUGGUCAUCUCUACUAAUUUUGAUUAAAGGGUGGGAUUCUUGGUAUGUGAUACAUGUGAAACUUUUAAGAAACAUCAAUUUUUUUUUUGUUUUAAGUACUGUAGAACAGCAUAAUCUUGUCCAUCAGCCUCGGUAAACAUCAUCUGAGAUGACAGAAAUUAAUGAUGUCAUAGGCUGACUAAUGUGGAGCAGCAGAGGACAUUUCAGGAUUCUUUUGAACUUCACAUUUACUUAUAAAUGGCUGCACAACAUUCCCCAGCAGAACCUGCUCUGCCAGAAUGGGUGGUAACCGCUAGAGGGUGCAGAUAGCCUGGCAUUUCUCUGGCACACCCCUUUGUGGGUUGAUGAUAGAAGAGCUGCUUAGGUGUUCCAUGAACACAGUU